UACGUAGGGGGCUAGCGUUGUCCGGAAUCAUUGGGCGUAAAGCGCGCGUAGGCGGCCCGAUAAGUCUGCUGUGAAAGUCCAGGGCUCAACCCUGGAAUGCCGGUGGAUACUGUCGGGCUAGAGUUCGGAAGAGGCAAGUGGAAUUCCUGGUGUAGCGGUGGAAUGCGCAGAUAUCAGGAGGAACACCUAUAGCGAAGGCAGCUCUCUGGGACGGUACUGACGCUGAGACGCGAAAGCGUGGGGAGCGAACAGG
rnacentral:rRNA from 1 species